rnacentral:rRNA from 1 species
ACGUUAGCGGCGGACGGGUGAGUAACACGUGGGUAACCUACCUAUAAGACUGGGAUAACUUCGGGAAACCGGAGCUAAUACCGGAUAAUAUUUCGAACCGCAUGGUUCGAUAGUGAAAGAUGGUUUUGCCAUCACUUAUAGAUGGACCCGCGCCGUAUUAGCUAGUUGGUAAGGUAACGGCUUACCAAGGCGACGAUACGUAGCCGACCUGAGAGGGUGAUCGGCCACACUGGAACUGAGACACGGUCCAGACUCCUACGGGAGGCAGCAGCC